rnacentral:rRNA from 1 species
AGAGUUUGAUCCUGGCUCAGAUUGAACGCUGGCGGCGUGCUUAACACAUGCAAGUCGAACGAGAAAGGGGCUUCGGCCCUGAGUAGAGUGGCGCACGGGUGAGUAACGCGUAAGUAACCUGCCCUUCUAUCUGGGAUAACAGCUCGAAAGGGCUGCUAAUACCGGAUACUCUUACUGGUCGCGAGGCUGGUAAGGAAAGGUGACCUCUGAUUUAAGUUACCGUAGAGGGAGGGGCUUGCGUACCAUUAGCUAGUUGGUGGGGUAAAGGCCUACCAAGGCGACGAUGGUUAGCGGGUUUGAGAGGAUGAUCCGCCACACUGGAACUGAAACACGGACCAGACUCCUACGGGAGGCAGCAGUGAGGAAUAUUGCGCAAUGGGGGCAACCCUGACGCAGCGACGCCGCGUGAGUGAAGAAGGCCUUCGGGUUGUAAAGCUCUGUCGGAAGGGAAGAACGGGCAUGCGGUUAAUACCCGCGUGUUUUGACGGUACCUUCAAAGGAAGCACCGGCUAACUCCGUGCCAGCAGCCGCGGUAAUACGGAGGGUGCUAGCGUUAAUCGGAAUCACUGGGCGUAAAGGGCGCGUAGGCGGCCCUGCAAGUCAGAUGUGAAAGCCCACGGCUCAA